CAGCCGCGUGGUUCUUGAGGCACUCGCGGUACCUGACGGGCUUCUUGAAAUCGUCGUCGGCGAUCUGGGUGGCGGAAGAAGGGAUGAUAAUGUGGUUGUGGGAUGGCGGUGGAUGAUGAUGAUGGUGAUGGAUCAUGUGGCCAUGCCCACCAUAGGUGCUGUUCAGUGGGAGCGGCAUCUCAUCACCUUCUUCACUUGGAACCUCCAUUAGAUCUUUCCUCUUUUGUGCGUGUGUCACUUGUUUGGAGACCAAAAGGACCACCAGAUUAGGGUGCUAACACCAAUGAUUAAACCUUAAAAGUCAUGCCCUCACUUGUAAAUUUUCCUAUGCGCGCGCUAGCUGUCUUUUUUUUGGGGGGGUGUCAAGCAACGACACUAUAUAUAAAUAUGGGAAUAAAUCACUGAUUCUUAAUUCAAACUGAGUUUGAUUUCAAGAGGCAGAAAUUAAUUAAGGUUAACUUAUUGGGUUGUGGGAUUUAUGGACUGGGAGGAGAAACCAAGAACAAAAUACUAGAUAUUUGUUAGUAGGGAAUGACAGUGAAUCAACCUGCGUUUUUCUUUCUACACAUUGUAAACAUGUUUUCUUGAAUAAAGGGAAGUAAGGCAGAGAUUAGUUUUGUCUGAAAGAAUAGUGUUGAAGGGAAAAAUAAAUAAAGUCAUGUAGUAUAUAUAUGAGGUUCAAGUAANAAUGAUGUUCACGAGCCAGUUUUAUUAUUUCAAACUCCAAACGAAAUGAUGUUUGAAACUCAGUUAUGGUAUUUUAAGCUCUAAAUGAGACGAUGCACAAAAGACCUGUUAUGAUUUUUCAAGCUCCAUACAAGAUGAUGGUUAGAAGUUAGUUAUGAUCUCACAAGCUUCAGAUUGCAUAAUCUCACAAGUCAGCCCUGGUGUUUCUAACUCCUACUGAAAAUGAUGUUUAGAAGUGAGUUAUGAUAUUUAAAGCAUCAGGUAGUGUUGUUGAAACGACUGACGCAUUAAAUCAGAUAUUGUAUUUUAGGGUCCAGACGAGAUAAUGCUAAAAAAUUUGGUGUUCAAAAGUCAGAUAUCGUCUUCGAGUUCUUGAUGAUCAUCUGGUCUUACAGACUUCAGAUGAGAUGAUGUUUAGAUGACAAAUGAGAUCUUAAAUUAAUUCUUAUCCGUCAAUAUAGAAAAAUUGUACAAAAUUUAUACUCCCUCCGUCCGCAAUAUCGUUUUCACAUUUGCCAUUUCGAUCUGUCCGCGAUAUCGCGAAAUGGCAAAUGUGGAAACGAUAUCGCGGACGGACCGAAGUGUAUUUUUAUCAUUCUAGCAAAAAGUUAAUAUUUAAUUGACGAAUAUAGUUGAAAUUAGUACUACCUCCGUCCACCAAAAGUAUGACACUUUGGAGGGACAUACGUUUUAAGAAAAUUGGUGGUGAUUUUUCAAAAGCAGAGACUAAACAUCCGCCAAAUGGACAAAUGGUCCCACCAAAAUUGAAAUGAUAGUUGAGAUUGAAUUAAAAGUGAUUUUUUUUUGUAAAUAAAGAGUGUUUGUAGAGAUAAAAAAAAGUAAUACGGUCAUGCCUUAAAAUGAAAAGUGCCAUAAUUUUUGUGGACACUCAAAAUAACAAAAGUAUCGUACUUUUCGUGGUCGAAGCGAAUAUAAUAUAAACUUUAUUACAUCUAAUUAAAUUAAUUAAAAGAUAAUUAUAUUAUAUAAACCAAUAUAAAUAAUUUAAAUUAUAAUUUAAAGUCACGUCGAAUUUCUACAGGUUAUACUUCUACUAAAUAAGACACCAACAGUAAAAUAAAGGAUUUCAUGUGACAUGCAUCCCCAAACUUAAAACUAAUUGCGUCAAGAAGAGAAAACCAUAUCAUCAAAUUAGGAGGUGGAGAAUAACAAGCUUGACAUCCUUGAAAUAAAUCCAUUCCUCGCUAAAAUGGAUUUACAAUUGGUACCAAACUCCAACUACUAAAAACUUACUCAAACCCCAGUUUUAAUUUCUUCAACUACAUAAGAACACCAUUAUUGUCAAACACAUUAUAAAGCUACUCCUGAAACGCAGAUUCACGACAUAAAAGUCCAAAUCUAACAGAUCCCAAUAUAUUCCCCCACCCAAAAUAAAAAUGUAGGAACAGAAUAGAAUAGAAAUAAACAAAAGGGAAAAGGUAAUAACUUUCUGCAGCAAAAACAGUAGUAUUAAUUAAUUAAUUAGUCCCUAAACUCUGAUGUUGAGGGUCAGAUUGAAGAAGGGUCUUCUUUGCAAGAGUAUGCUUGUUGUUGUGCAUCCAUACCUUCAAAACUCUUCUCUUGACUCCAACUUCUUGGCAGAACUGCUGCACCACUCCUUCUUCCUGCUUCUGUAUUUUCCACCCAACUUUCUCUGCAAAGUUGAGCAUCUUCUCCUUCUGCUCCUGACUGAACUUGGUUCUGAACCUCUUCUUCACCAGCUGCGGCGCUCUGCCGCCGUCCUGCUCGUCGGACUCGGAGGGGCCGCCGCUGUUGUAGGAGUGCAUAAUCAUCUGGUGUGGCCUGUAGCCCUUGUGCUGGUGGUGGUGGUGGCCCAGGAAGAGCUUGCGGCCAAUCCUGGGGUAGCAGCCGUCGCAGGGGUCACCGUCGGCCUCCUUGCGGUGGAAGUUGCGGUGGCAGCCGCAGGCGGAGCAGGUAAGGGCGUCGAGGUCGGCGGUGGGCAUGAACUCGCCGCAGCCGUCGGUGGCGUUGCCGCCCAUCGCAGCCGCGUGGUUCUUGAGGCACUCGCGGUACCUGACGGGCUUCUUGAAAUCGUCGUCGGCGAUCUGGGUGGCGGAAGAAGGGAUGAUAAUGUGGUUGUGGGAUGGCGGUGGAUGAUGAUGAUGGUGAUGGAUCAUGUGGCCAUGCCCACCAUAGGUGCUGUUCAGUGGGAGCGGCAUCUCAUCACCUUCUUCACUUGGAACCUCCAUUAGAUUCUUCCUCUUUUGUGCGUGUGUCACUUGUUUGGAGACCAAAAGGACCACCAGAUUAGGGUGCUAACACCAAUGAUUAAACCUUAAAAGUCAUGCCCUCACUUGUAAAUUUUCCUAUGCGCGCGCUGUCUUUUUUUUGGGGGGUGUCAAGCAACGACACUACAUAUAAAUAUGGGAAUAAAUCACUGUGUUGUUGACACAAAUUCUUAAUUCAAACUGAGUUUGAUUUUAAGAGGCAGAAAUUAAUUAAGGUUAACUUAUUGGGUUGUGGGAUUUAUGGACUGGGAGGAGAAACCAAGAACAAAAUACUAUAUUUGUUAGUAGGGAAUGACAGUGAAUCAACCUGCGUUUUUCUUUCUACACAUUGUAAACAUGUUUUCUUGAAUAAAGGGAAGUAAGGCAGAGAUUAGUUUUGUCUGAAAGAAUAGUGUUGAAGGGAAAAAUAAAUAAAGUCAUGUAGUAUAUAUAUGAGGUUCAAGAACUAUAACUCACUGCCUGAAAUUUCUGCUUUCGAAAAACUUGAACAAGUUGAAACACCUUGCAAUAAUGCAAAUGAGAGAAGGGUUUCGUUUGUUAGCGCAAGCAAAUUGGAGUUAAGUUUUGGGUGAUGAACAAGUGUUUGUAGAGAGAGAGGGGUAGGGGGGGUUGAAGGCUGUUUUGAGAAUGGAAUGAAGCACUAAACAUGAGCUUAUAGAAGUAGUGAGCCAAAAAAAGGGGUUGAUAGGGAAAGAGAUAGAGAGCGUGAGAUAGAGAAAGGAAAAAUAAAAGCAAAAUUUAUUUUCUACUUUAUUUUUUUAACAGUAAGGAAGUUAGGGUGUUUUAGAGAGGGAAAAAUUAAAGUGGGGUGGGUUGCUUUGCUUGCACUACUACCAGGCAUCAAGUUUACGCCACAUAGAGAGCAGUGUGUCAGAGAGUGGAGAAGGACAAAGAAAGUUGUCGAUUUGUGAAUUCACUGUGCGUAUUUAUUUGUUAGAGAGAGAGAGAGAGAAUCCCACAAUGGAAUUCUGGAAAAGAAACGACUUUGAAAUAGAUCUUAGCAAGAUAAAAGCAAAAGUGGCGCAAGAAUUUAACUUUAGUUCAUAAUCAUACUAAUAAACUUGAGCUGAACAACAUAC
rnacentral:lncRNA from 1 species